GACGAACGCUGGCGGCGUGCUUAACACAUGCAAGUCGAACGGAAACGCCCUGCUUUUGUGGGGUGCUCGAGUGGCGAACGGGUGAGUAACACGUGAGUAACCUGACCUUGACUUUGGGAUAACUUCAGGAAACGGGGGCUACUACCGUAUAGGAGCUCCUGCUGCAUGGUGGGGGUUGGAAAUUUUCGGCGGUUGGGGAUGGACUCGCGGCUUAUCAGCUUGUUGGUGGGGUAGUGGCCUACCCAGCCAUUGACGGGUAGCCGGCCUGAGAGGGUGACCGGCCACAUUGGGACUGUGAUACGGACCAGACGGGUACGGGAGGCAGCAGUGGGGAGUAUGGCACAGUGGGCGGAAGCCUGAGGCAGCAACGCCGCGGGCGGGAUGACGGCCUGCGGGUUAUAAACCGCUGUCGCCUGUGACGAAGCGUGAGUGACGGUAAUGGGUAAAGAAGCACCGGCUAACUACGUG
rnacentral:rRNA from 1 species